CAUUACUCAAAAGCAGGAAUCUGUGUUUGGGAAGAUGUGAAUUACGUACUUUUGAUUGAAAACAGCUGCACACCCACAAUCCCUUUAGCCAGUUAAUUGGACCAUGACAGGCACUCCAGAUGUCUACCCACAUGCCCUUUUCUUACCAACAGGACCCCGACGAUCACACACUCCCUGGAUGGUGCCCAGCUUCCUGGCCGCUCAGCCUGUGUGACACAGCUCUAGCCCAGUGGAGGGGGAGAACAGGCAGCUGCUGGGGAUUCUGGGAAAAUGUGGUCUUUUAUGUAAGCUCUUUCCUGCUCUCACCUCCUCCUUCCUCCUCUCCCAUCUGGAGGCAGACAGGAGGCCGAGCGUGGCAGCUCCAGCAACCACAGAAGGCCUCGAGGUAAUGGCACCGCUGAAGAUGGUGGCAGAAAGGCAGAAGGAGCCAGGCCCAGGGCGAUAUCCUGCCGCCCCACACCUGCCCUGCCUGGCCCCUUCGCCCCGGACCUGUGAAUCUGGAAUAAGGCAACUUCCCCCGGAGAUGCCACCAUGCCUGGGCUUCUGUGGCUUUGAGCUGAAAACAGCCCUGGGUGAUGGAGAGAGACAGUAGUGGUCACCCUACCCAGCAACCACCUACCUGCACAGGUAUAAAUUUCAGGUCAGCUGAAUCCCACAAAGCUAAAUCCAGAAUUUAUGAACCUUCUUCCACACCAACCAUACCAACCAUCCUAUUCCUUCAAGAUUCUUUGAAUGUGUGGCUGGGCUGUCCUAUGAGUGCCGUUAGAGGAGGGAACAGGUCUUGCUGCAUCCUCCUGCCUCCGCUUCCCCUUCUGUACAACAGAACCUGAUUAGCAUUUGAGGAUUCACCCUCCCCACUCGAUCCAUGUGUCUAGGGUGAGCUGACCCUGAACCUCAGGUCCCAGGGUGGACACGGGAGCUGGACCUAGCCCAGCCAGCACCACUUGCCCUGGACAGCGAUGGGCUCAGUGAACGAAGGACCUAAGCUGACCGUUUAGGGUGACUCUCGUGGCCUUUGUGGGAUCCGCUCUUGUCGCUGGAUUUGAACCUGAGAGUGUGAGGCUAGAGCUUCGGUGGGCAGCUAGCACCAGGCAGGGGCACCUGGAGGCUGCUGGGCCUCCUCCUGCUGAGGAGCCAUGACCAUGGCAGUGGGUGGACACGUGGAGGCCAGGGGCUCCAGGGGACAGUGUCCAGGGGUCAGACCCAGCUUGCCUGAAGAUCGAGCAGAAGUGGUCAAGCCUAUUAAUGCACUCUCCGCUGAGCCACCGGAGUCAUCAGGUCUUCUGUCACUUGCCCUGAGAGAAUCCUGCAGCUAUUAGGGCUGAAACUUCACCGGCCCUUGGGAAACCUCCAGCCCGCCCAGAAACCAAGAGAACAUUUCCGCCUGCUGAGUUUCCCACCACAGUCGUCCUCCCUGGGCCUCACCCACCUCCAUGUGGGGCCAUUUCCUUUGGCUGAAUUCACUGGACUGUCAGGGAACUGCAGCUGGGGUUGGCUUUGCUUGCUUCUGGGCGGGAGAACACAUUUUGGUCUGUUUUAACACCUAAAUGACACACAUAUGCCCUGCGUAAUGCAGAAAUGGAAAGUUCCUACGUGCAGAGGUCAUCACAGGCAUCUUUGUUUCUGAGAUUUUGCUCAAAGAAAACAAACCCGCAGCCAGAGCCCCUUGCUGGGAGGUCAGACUCUGCUGUCGCAGCUGCUCCGAGGGCUGAAGUGCCUCAUCCCUGGCCCAGGUUCCCUCGAUGGCCUGGCGGCUCAGUCUCUCCGAAGGGCCUCUCCCCUCCCCCUGCUGACUCCGCUCCCCACCACCAAAGGCUCUGGCCUCCUGCGAACCUUGUUUCUGGGGAUUAAAAAGGCCUCGAGGAUCUUGCAGCUCUGUCUGCAGAGGCUGAAGGAGCAGCGAUGUCAGUGGCUGUUUUGCUAAACUACAACCAGCCACCUCCCUGAAGGGGGUAAAAUACUGUGAGCCCCAAGACAAAAGUCCACUCGUGGAGGUUCCAAAAGCAGAGAGGCGAAAUGCCUCUGAAACAAACAACCUUCACAAACCACGAGUUGUCAGGUCACAAUCACAGGCGGGGCUGGCCAGAGGUGGCUGUUCCUAACAGCCCCUUUGUGUUUCUGUCCGUGAAACAGACUCCAUGAUGGCCCCAUGGCCACUUCUGUGCUUCGUUUCUUCUCUGCUUCCUGGAGGCCCCUGUCCACUUCCUGUCCUUGUGGUUGGGUCCCGUUCCCAAUUCCUAGAACCCUGUGCUUUCCCUGGACCAGGGCUUCCCAGCCUUCCAGGGAGUGGGCUAUAGAGCAGUGCAUUCCUCUCCUUUCUGUAUGUCUGAGGUUUUCUGAGCCCUGUAGUUUUUAGCUGCCCAAAGAUGACACGUCUCCCCAAACUUGAGGCCUGAUCCUCCCACCAAAGACGCUGUGUCCUAUUACCUGCUCUCUUUUCAUGUUGGCAUUUAUUAUUUUCUGGAAUUGUCUUGUUUAGUGACUUAUUUACCUCCCUUAGGGUCUGACUCCUCAGACUAAAUGUGAGCUCUGUGUGGUCUGAGGCUACAUCUGUGUAAUUCUCUUGUGUUUCCCUGGAGCCUGCAGUCAUAGAGGGUGCCUGAUAGGAGCUCAAUCAAUGUGAGGUGAAGAGAUGAAUGAAGGAAGGAUGGAAUGAAUGAGUGGGGACCUCUUGGUCACAGUCCCCCUUAUUGUUGCUCUUUUUUUCUUGCUACUGCCUCUCUCCAACUUGAUGUUUUCUGGACUCAAAACCUUAUAUGUCUGUCUCGUGUUGUUGAGUACAACUUUCUGCACAUGGUGAAAAUAUUCUGUGUCUGCACUGUCCAAUAUAGCAGCCGCUAGCCACAUGUGACUAUGGAGCACUCAAAAUGUGGCUAGCGUGACUGAGGAACUGAAUUUUUAAAGCUAUUUAGUUUUCAUUGAUAUAAACUGAAAUAACCCCAGGUGCCCAGUGACUGCCAUGGAGGACAGCACAGGUCUUGAUCUUCAAUGUCAUUCUUAGCUGUGGCCUUCAAAUCUCAUCCUGUUGUCUGCCUACAUCUGCUCCAUCCAGACUCCCAGCUCUCACCCCACCAUCAGCCUGGAGGUCACAACCUCCUGCUAGGCAGGCACCUUAUUCACCUUUGGUUUAGGGGCCCACAGGGAUUGGACCAGGUCUCAAUUUGAUUAGAGCACCUGAGGCCAUUUCAGUCCAAUCUUAGCUCAAAGGUUUCCCAAGAAUACAGGACAAAUAUGAAUCUCCUCCCUACAGCCUAGGGCCCCCAACAGGAGACCUCCAAAAGCUCUAAAAGUCACUGAGACAAAAAGGGGGAACUGUCAUCUAUCGGGCAGCACUUUUUUUUUUUUUUUGAGACAGAGACUCUCUCUGUCGCCAGGCUGGAGUGGAGUGCAGUGGCACGAUCUCGGCUCACUGCAACCUCUAUCAGGCAGCACUCUUGAUCACAAAGGACAGAAUACCCACUCAAACUUAAAUGAGUGAAAACAUGAAUAUCUUCACUCCAGAAACUUAAUGUCCCGGCAGUAUUUGACUACAGGCACAGCUGGAUCUUGGUGCAAAAUGACAUCAUCAGGAAGGGUUCUCUUCCAUUUCUCAGGCUGGCGUCCUCCUGGGUGGGCUCCCUUCUGGGUCACACAGUUCUCAUGAGGUGGCAAAGAUGCCCCAGCAGAUCCUGAUCCUCCCAUCAGCCCAGCAAGUGUCACGAGAACUGGUUCUGUUCAAGUGGAGCCCUGAAACCCCAGAACGAGUUGACAUGUCCCCACCACAGGUGAACGCAGCCCCAUGCACCACGUCCAUGUCCCAGGAGAACCUGCCAAUUGAUGGUCUGUGCCGGGGUUGAAGGUCUUGUCUGAUUAAAAACUGCUGUCCACUCCUCCACACAUUCUAGAUUGAUCAGUAUCAUAUUCCCAGUGUCCCCAGCCUCGCCACCAAAAUAGAUUUAACCUAGAAAGAGAAGUGAGCUGCAGAAAAUUAAUCACUUUUUUAUCCUCAAGGGACACCAGCGUGAUGAAUUUAAGCUUUGACUGGGGAAAUUAGAGUCACAGAAAUGGCCAAGUAGAGCCUGGAAACGUG
rnacentral:lncRNA from 1 species